GGGCCAAGCUUUUCCGGGAAUUUUUGGGCGUAAAGGGCUUGCCAGGGGGUUUUUUAAAUUUUGAUUUGAAAAGCCCCCGGGUCAAUCCGGGGGGGGGUCAUUGGAAACUUGGAAACUUGAGUGCAGAAGAGGAGAGUGGAAUUCCACGUGUAGCGGUGAAAUGCGUAGAGAAUUGGAGGAACACCAGUGGCGAAGGCGACUCUCUGGUCUGUAACUGACGCUGAGGAGCGAAAGCGUGGGGAGCGAACAGGAUUAGAUACCCUGGUAGUCCACGCCGUAAACGAUGAGUGCUAAGUGUUAGGGGGUUUCCGCCCCUUAGUGCUGCAGCUAACGCAUUAAGCACUCCGCCUGGGGAGUACGGUCGCAAGACUGAAACUCAAAGGAAUUGACGGGGGCCCGCACAAGCGGUGGAGCAUGUGGUUUAAUUCGAAGCAACGCGAAGAACCUUACCAGGUCUUGACAUCCUCUGACAACCCUAGAGAUAGGGCUUUCCCUUCGGGGACAGAGUGACAGGUGGUGCAUGGUCGGAGUCAGCAUCGUGACCCGUAGAUGCAUU
rnacentral:rRNA from 1 species